AUUGAACGCUGGCGGAAUGCUUUACACAUGCAAGUCGAACGGCAGCACGGACUUCGGUCUGGUGGCGAGUGGCGAACGGGUGAGUAAUAUAUCGGAACGUGCCCAGUCGUGGGGGAUAACGUAGUGAAAAUUACGCUAAUACCGCAUACGAUCUAUGGAUGAAAGCGGGGGAUCGCAAGACCUCGCGCGAUUGGAGCGGCCGAUAUCAGAUUAGGUAGUUGGUGAGGUAAAGGCUCACCAAGCCGACGAUCUGUAGCUGGUCUGAGAGGACGACCAGCCACACUGGAACUGAGACACGGGCCAGACUCCUACGGGAGGCAGUAGUGGGGAAUUUUGGACAAUGGACGCAAGUCUGAUCCAGCCAUUCCGCGUGCAGGACUAAGGCCUUCGGGUUGUAAACUGCUUUUGUACAGAACGAAAAGGUCUCUAUUAAUACUAGGGGCUCAUGACGGUACUGUAAGAAUAAGCACCGGCUAACUACGUGCCAGCAGCCGCCGUAA
rnacentral:rRNA from 1 species